AAAAUAGAAAUAAAAAAGAGACAGAAAAAUAUGAAAAAAAGAAAAAGAAAAAAAGAAAAGAAAAAAACAGUAGAUGAAAAAAGAAAAAACAAAAGGAAAAACGAAUAAUGACAAGAGAAGAAAGGUAAAGAGAAAAGAAGAAAAAAGCCAAGUCAAAAAGUAAAGAAUAACUCGAAGGAAGGAGUGGAUGGCAAGAAAUACAGAGAAAGCAGUGCAUAGCACAGCAGAGCAAAGCAAGGCAAAAUAGCAGCCAAAGCCACGAGAAUCAAGAAGUCAGUGAAGAGCAGGAAAGGAGUGGAUGGCAAGAAAUACAGAGAAAGCAGUGCAUAGCACAGCAGAGCAAAGCAAGGCAAAAUAGCAGCCAAAGCCACGAGAAUCAAGAAGUCAGUGAAGAGCAGGAAAGGAAUGGAGGAAUCUGUCCAGAGCUGUGCCCCUGCUUGCCACAGGAGCUGCGCGGGAGGAGAAGAACGUGGGGCCAAAAGGUAAGAGGAGCUCCUUUGGGUUCUGGGCUUGAAGCAAAGCUGAGAAGCCAUGCCCGGGAGGACGGUGUGGGUAGCUACAGGCCACCUUGCUAUCUCCCCAAGAGAUGAGGUGUGUGGGCUAGGCACCGGGCAGGAGUGCUGGCCAGAAGCAAGCAUCUCUGUGGAGGAAGGCAAAGGGCGGAGGAGGUUCAAGGGUAGCUACCGGGCAUGGCCUUGCUCAGCAAGGGGAGGAAAAGCCUGAAGGGCACGAGAAGGGGAUAGAGAAGGGCAGGCAGUAGGCGUGAAGCUGCGAGCAGAGUAGAGAGCAACUUGGCAGAGCAGCAAGCAGAGUAGGCAAGUGUUGAGGUUUGGCGUGAGUAGCAGCAGCAAAAGCCCAGAGCAUCAAGAAGCAGGAAGUGAGGAGAAGGUAAGUGAAGGGCAGGCAAGGUAAUGGGAGGCAAAGGCAAG
ensembl:lncRNA